UGUUUCCUACGGGGCGCAGCAGUCGGGAAUAUUGCGCAAUGGAGGAAGCUCUGACGCAGUGACGCCGCGUAUAGGAAGAAGGUUUUCGGAUUGUAAACUAUUGUCGUUAGGGAAGAGAAAGGACAGUACCUAAGGAGGAAGCUCCGGCUAACUACGUGCCAGCAGCCGCGGUAAUACGUAGGGAGCGAGCGUUAUCCGGAAUUAUUGGGUGUAAAGGGUGCGUAGGCGGGAAAACAAGUUAGUUGUGAAAUCCCUCGGCUUAACUGAGGAACUGCAACUAAAACUAUUUUUCUUGAGUGCAGGAG
rnacentral:rRNA from 1 species